CUUUAUAAACCCUGUCCUCUGC
rnacentral:piRNA from 1 species